UACGGCGGUCAUGGCGGAGGGGAAACGCCCGGUUACAUUCCGAACCCGGAAGCUAAGCCCUCCAGCGCUGCUGCAAC
rnacentral:rRNA from 1 species